GAUGAACGCUGGCGGCGUGCCUAAUACAUGCAAGUCGAGCGAACGGACGAGAAGCUUGCUUCUCUGAUGUUAGCGGCGGACGGGUGAGUAACACGUGGAUAACCUACCUAUAAGACUGGGAUAACUUCGGGAAACCGUAGCUAAUACCGGAUAAUAUUUUGAACCGCAUGGUUCAAAAGUGAAAGACGGUCUUGCUGUCACUUAUAGAUGGAUCCGCGCUGCAUUAGCUAGUUGGUAAGGUAACGGCUUACCAAGGCAACGAUGCAUAGCCGACCUGAGAGGGUGAUCGGCCACACUGGAACUGAGACACGGUCCAGACUCCUACGGGAGGCAGCAGUAGGGAAUCUUCCGCAAUGGGCGAAAGCCUGACGGAGCAACGCCGCGUGAGUGAUGAAGGUCUUCGGAUCGUAAAACUCUGUUAUUAGGGAAGAACAUAUGUGUAAGUAACUGUGCACAUCUUGACGGUACCUAAUCAGAAAGCCACGGCUAACUACGUGCCAGCAGCCGCGGUAAUACGUAGGUGGCAAGCGUUAUCCGGAAUUAUUGGGCGUAAAGCGCGCGUAGGCGGUUUUUUAAGUCUGAUGUGAAAGCCCACGGCUCAACCGUGGAGGGUCAUUGGAAACUGGAAAACUUGAGUGCAGAAGAGGAAAGUGGAAUUCCAUGUGUAGCGGUGAAAUGCGCAGAGAUAUGGAGGAACACCAGUGGCGAAGGCGACUUUCUGGUCUGUAACUGACGCUGAUGUGCGAAAGCGUGGGGAUCAAACAGGAUUAGAUACCCUGGUAGUCCACGCCGUAAACGAUGAGUGCUAAGUGUUAGGGGGUUUCCGCCCCUUAGUGCUGCAGCUAACGCAUUAAGCACUCCGCCUGGGGAGUACGACCGCAAGGUUGAAACUCAAAGGAAUUGACGGGGACCCGCACAAGCGGUGGAGCAUGUGGUUUAAUUCGAAGCAACGCGAAGAACCUUACCAAAUCUUGACAUCCUUUGACAACUCUAGAGAUAGAGCCUUCCCCUUCGGGGGACAAAGUGACAGGUGGUGCAUGGUUGUCGUCAGCUCGUGUCGUGAGAUGUUGGGUUAAGUCCCGCAACGAGCGCAACCCUUAAGCUUAGUUGCCAUCAUUAAGUUGGGCACUCUAAGUUGACUGCCGGUGACAAACCGGAGGAAGGUGGGGAUGACGUCAAAUCAUCAUGCCCCUUACGAUUUGGGCUACACACGUGCUACAAUGGACAAUACAAAGGGCAGCGAAACCGCGAGGUCAAGCAAAUCCCAUAAAGUUGUUCUCAGUUCGGAUUGUAGUCUGCAACUCGACUACAUGAAGCUGGAAUCGCUAGUAAUCGUAGAUCAGCAUGCUACGGUGAAUACGUUCCCGGCUCU
rnacentral:rRNA from 1 species